GACGAACGCUGGCGGCGUGCUUAACACAUGCAAGUCGAACGGAAAGGCCCUGCUUUUGUGGGGUGCUCGAGUGGCGAACGGGUGAGUAACACGUGAGUAACCUGCCCUUGACUUUGGGAUAACUUCAGGAAACUGGGGCUAAUACCGGAUAUGAGCUCCUGCUGCAUGGUGGGGGUUGGAAAGUUUCGGCGGUUGGGGUUGGACUCGCGGCUUAUCAGCUUGUUGGUGGGGUAGUGGCUUACCAAGGCUUUGACGGGUAGCCGGCCUGAGAGGGUGACCGGCGACAUUGGGACUGAGAUAAGGCCCAGACGCCUACGGGAGGCAGCAGUGGUGAAUAUUGCACAAUGGGCGGAAGCCUGAGGCAGCAACGCCGCGUGCGGGAUGACGGCCUUCUGGUUGUAAACCGCUUUCGCCUGUGACGAAGCGGGAGUGACGGUAAUGGGUAAAGAAGCACCGGCUAACUACGUG
rnacentral:rRNA from 1 species